rnacentral:rRNA from 1 species
AUGGUAGGAUAGAGGCCUACCAUGGUGGUAACGGGUAACGGGGUGUUAGGGCACGACACCGGAGAGGGAGCCUGAGAAACGGCUACCACAUCCAAGGAUGGCAGCAGGCGCGCAAAUUACCCAAUCCCGACACGGGGAGGUAGUGACAAUAAAUAACAAUACGGGGUUCUUUAGGAUCUCGUAAUUGGAAUGAGUACAAUUUAAAUCUCUUAACGAGGAACAAUUGGAGGGCAAGUCUGGUGCCAGCAGCCGCGGUAAUUCCAGCUCCAAUAGCGUAUAUUAAAGUUGUUGCAGUUAAAAAGCUCGUAGUUGAAUUUCGGGGUCAGUAGGUCGGUCGUGCCACUGGUAUGAACUGGUUUUACUGAUUCCUCCCUCUUGAAGAACUGUAAUGCCAUUAAUUUGUUGUUGCAGGGAAUCAGGACUGUUACUUUGAAAAAAUUAGAGUGUUUAAAGCAGGCCUUAGCUUGAAUACAUUAGCAUGGAAUAAUGAAAUAGGACGUUUGAUCCUAUUUUGUUGGUUUCUAGGACUGACGUAAUGAUUAAUAGGGAUAGUUGGGGGCAUUAGUAUUCAAUUGUCAGAGGUGAAAUUCUUGGAUUUAUUGAAGACUAACUACUGCGAAAGCAUUUGCCAAGGAUGUUUUCAUUAAUCAAGAACGAAAGUUAGGGGAUCGAGGACGAUCAGAUACCGUCGUAGUCUUAACCAUAAACUAUGCCGACUAGGGAUCGGAUGAUGUUAAUUUUUUAAUGACUCAUUCGGCGCCUUACGGGAAACCAAAGUGUUUGGG